GGGAUUGCCUCAGUAACGGCGAGUGAAGCGGCAAGAGCUCAAAUUUGAAAGCUGGCUCCUUCGGGGUCCGCAUUGUAAUUUGCAGAGGAUGCUUCGGGUGCAGCCCCCGUCUAAGUGCCCUGGAACGGGCCGUCAUAGAGGGUGAGAAUCCCGUAUGGGGCGGGGUGUCUGCGUCCGUGUGAAGCUCCUUCGACGAGUCGAGUUGUUUGGGAAUGCAGCUCUAAAUGGGUGGUAAAUUUCAUCUAAAGCUAAAUACUGGCCGGAGACCGAUAGCGCACAAGUAGAGUGAUCGAAAGAUGAAAAGCACUUUGAAAAGAGAGUUAAACAGCACGUGAAAUUGUUGAAAGGGAAGCGCUUGCAACCAGACUCGCUCGCGGGGUUCAGCCGGGCUUCGGCCCGGUGUACUUCCCCGCGGGCGGGCCAGCGUCGGUUUGGGCGGCCGGUCAAAGGCCUCCGGAAUGUAGCGCCCUUCGGGGCGCCUUAUAGCCGGGGGUGCAAUGCGGCCAGCCUGGACCGAGGAACGCGCUUCGGCACGGACGCUGGCAUAAUGGUUGUAAACGACCCGUCUGAAA
rnacentral:rRNA from 1 species